AAGGCUAAAGUCCAGUCCAGCUGUUCUUGCUUUCUUAACCUUUUUUGGAAAAACACACAACACGCCUACAAAAUUGAUUUUAAAAGAGAAAAACUCAGGACUGAGUGGCGCUGCUGAAACAGGCUGUUUGCUAUAACCUUACCAGAAUUCAAGGACCAUGAAAACCUUUCCAAGACGUCAUAAGAAAAACUGCGGAACAAUUAUUCCUACAUCAGAAAAAACUCAUGACCUUAUCAGCUUACAUCGAGCUGCCGCUGCUUGCAGACAUGUUGUGCUUAAUGGGAGCUGACCCUACUUAAUGAGCACAGCUGGUGCAUACAGAGCCGUCACCUUCUUGAAGAACUUUCUGCAUGGCCACAUCUCCUUUUCUCAACGGUGAAAACAUUUUGAAAAGGAGGUGGAUGAGGUCAUGCAUUAUUUACUGAACAAAAACCUUGCUCAUGAUGCUGAU